rnacentral:rRNA from 1 species
GUGGGGAAUAUUGCGCAAUGGGCGAAAGCCUGACGCAGCGACGCCGCGUGAGGGAUGAAGGUUUUCGGAUCGUAAACCUCUGUCAGAAGGGAAGAAACUACGUUGUGCUAAUCAGCAGCGUACUGACGGUACCUUCAAAGGAAGCACCGGCUAACUCCGUGCCAGCAGCCGCGGUAAUACGGAGGGUGCAAGCGUUAAUCGGAAUUACUGGGCGUAAAGCGCACGUAGGCUGUAGUGUAAGUCAGGGGUGAAAUCCCACGGCUCAACCGUGGAACUGCCUUUGAUACUGCACAACUUGAAUCCGGGAGAGGGUGGCGGAAUUCCAGGUGUAGGAGUGAAAUCCGUAGAUAUCUGGAGGAACAUCAGUGGCGAAGGCGGCCACCUGGACCGGUAUUGACGCUGAGGUGCGAAAGUGUGGGGAGCAAACAGGAUUAGAAACCCGUGUAGUCC